GACGAACGCUGGCGGCGUGCUUAACACAUGCAAGUCGAGCGGAAAGGCCCUUUCGGGGGUACUCGAGCGGCGAACGGGUGAGUAACACGUGAGUAAUCUGCCCCUGGCUUUGGGAUAGCCACCGGAAACGGUGAUUAAUACCGGAUACGACCACUUCUCGCAUGGGACGGUGGUGGAAAGUUUUUCGGCCAGGGAUGUGCUCGCGGCCUAUCAGCUUGAUGGUGAGGUAAUGGCUCACCAUGGCUUCGACGGGUAGCCGGCCUGAGAGGGUGACCGGUCACACUGGGACUGAGACACGGCCCAGACUCCUACGGGAGGCAGCAGUGGGGAAUAUUGGACAAUGGGCGGAAGCCUGAUCCAGCAACGCCGCGUGAGGGAUGACGGCCUUCGGGUUGUAAACCUCUUUCAGCAGGGACGAAGCGCAAGUGAUGGUACCUGCAGAAGAAGCACCGGCCAACUACGUGCCAGCAGCCGCCGUAA
rnacentral:rRNA from 1 species